GGGGAUUUAGCUCAGUGGUAGAGUGCUUGCCUAACAAGCACAAGGCUCUGGGUUCGGUCCCCAGCUCUG
rnacentral:tRNA from 1 species